rnacentral:rRNA from 1 species
GGGCCCGCACAAGCGGUGGAGCAUGCGGUUUAAUUCGAUAAUACGCGAAAAACCUUACCAACUCUUGACAUGUAAGUUUUAAAUUGUAGAGAUAUAGUUUUUCAGUUCGGCUGGGCUUACACAGGUGUUGCAUGGCUGUCGUCAGCUCGUGUCUUGAGAUGUUGGGUUAAGUCCCGCAACGAGCGCAACCCUCAUCCUUAUUUGCCAUCAAGUAAAGUUGGGAACUAUAAGGAAACUGCCUGCUUUAAGCAGGAGGAAGGUGAGGACGAGGUCAAGUCAUCAUGGCCCUUAUGAGUUGGGCUACACGCGUGCUACAAUGGUGUUUACAGAGGGAAGCAAGCCAGCAAUGGUAAGCAAAUCUCUUAAAGUACAUCUCAGUUCGGAUUGAACUCUGAAACUCGAGUUCAUGAAGUCGGAAUCGCUAGUAAUCG